rnacentral:ncRNA from 3 species
CGGACAAGGGGAAUCCGACUGUUUAA